rnacentral:rRNA from 1 species
AUUGAACGCUGGCGGCAUGCCUUACACAUGCAAGUCGAACGGUAACGGGCCUUCGGGUGCCGACGAGUGGCGAACGGGUGAGUAAUACAUCGGAACGUGCCCGAUCGUGGGGGAUAACGAGGCGAAAGCUUUGCUAAUACCGCAUACGAUCUAUGGAUGAAAGCAGGGGACCGCAAGGCCUUGCGCGGACGGAGCGGCCGAUGGCAGAUUAGGUAGUUGGUGGGAUAAAAGCUUACCAAGCCGACGAUCUGUAGCUGGUCUGAGAGGAUGAUCAGCCACACUGGGACUGAGACACGGCCCAGACUCCUACGGGAGGCAGCAGUGGGGAAUUUUGGACAAUGGGCGCAAGCCUGAUCCAGCCAUGCCGCGUGCAGGAUGAAGGCCUUCGGGUUGUAAACUGCUUUUGUACGGAACGAAAAGCCUUCUUUUAAUACAGGAGGGUCAUGACGGUACCGUAAGAAUAAGCACCGGCUAACUACGUG